rnacentral:lncRNA from 1 species
UCUCGCCCUACACACACUACAUAGAGCCAGCUGAGCGGUGCCCACCACCGUCUCCGCGCAUCGCCACCACCCGCGCUCAGUGCCCUCCACCUCACUAGCUACGCUACGAGCUACUGCUAAAGCAGCUAGCGACGAGCUCGCCCGCCGCCGGCGCUCUCCCUAGCUAGCUUCUGGGGGGGGGGGGGGGUUGAUGCCGCGGGCCAGCCGCGUGUCCGUCAGCAGCUUGUUGACCUGCGAGUACUCCGGGUGGUCCGCCAGGAUCUUGGUGAUGUUGUACCCCUCGGCCGCCGCCGCCGCCGCCG